GCGAACGCUGGCGGCAGGCCUAAUACAUGCAAGUCGAACGGCUCUUCGGAGCAGUGGCGGACGGGUUAGUAACGCGUGGGAAUGUGCCCUUUGGUACGGAACAACUGAGGGAAACUUCAGCUAAUACCCUAUGUGCCCUUCGGGGGAAACAUUUAUUGCCAUUGGAGCAGCCCCCGUUGGAUUAGCUAGUUGGUGGGGUAAAGGCUCACCAAGGCGACGAUCCAUAGCUGGUCUGAGAGGAUGAUCAGCCACACUGGGACUGAGACACGGCCCAGACUCCUACGGGAGGCAGCAGUAGGGAAUCUUGCGCAAUGGGCGAAAGCCUGACGCAGCAAUGCAGCGUGAAUGAUGAAGGUCUUAGGAUUGUAAAAUUCUUUCACCGGGGAAGAUAAUGACGGUACCCGGAGAAGAAGCCCCGGCUAACUUCGU
rnacentral:rRNA from 1 species